UACGUAGGGGGCUAGCGUUGUCCGGAUUUAUUGGGCGUAAAGAGCGUGUAGGCGGCCAUGUAGGUCCGGUGUGAAAACUCGAGGCUUAACCUCGAGAUGUCAUCGGAAACCAUUUGGCUAGAGUCCGGAAGAGGAGAGUGGAAUUCCUGGUGUAGCGGUGAAAUACGCAGAUAUCAGGAGGAACACCAAUGGCGAAAGCAGCUCUCUGGGACGGUACUGACGCUGAGACGCGAAAGCGUGGGGAGCGAACAGG
rnacentral:rRNA from 1 species